rnacentral:rRNA from 1 species
AGUGAACGCUGGCGGCAGGCCUAAUACAUGCAAGUCGAACGGCAGCACAGCAGAGCUUGCUCUGUGGGUGGCGAGUGGCGGACGGGUGAGGAAUACAUGGGAAUCUGCCCAGUCGUGGGGGAUAACGUAGGGAAACUUACGCUAAUACCGCAUGCGCCCUUCGGGGGAAAGCCGGGGACCUUCGGGCCUGGCGCGAUUGGAUGAGCCCAUGUCGGAUUAGCUAGUUGGCGGGGUAAUGGCCCACCAAGGCGACGAUCCGUAGCUGGUCUGAGAGGAUGAUCAGCCACACUGGAACUGAGACACGGUCCAGACUCCUACGGGAGGCAGCAGUGGGGAAUAUUGGACAAUGGGCGCAAGCCUGAUCCAGCAAUGCCGCGUGUGUGAAGAAGGCCUGCGGGUUGUAAAGCACUUUCAGUGGGGAAGAACAGAUUCGGGUCAAUACCCCGGAGCCCUGACGUUACCCACAGAAGAAGCACCGGCUAACUCCGUCG